rnacentral:rRNA from 1 species
GUAAGUCCCGUAACGAGCGCAACCCUUGUCCUUAGUUACCAGCACGUUAUGGUGGGCACUCUAAGGAGACUGCCGGUGACAACCGGAGGAAGGUGGGGAUGACGUCAAGUCAUCAUGGCCCUUACGGCCUGGGCUACACACGUGCUACAAUGGUCGGUACAAAGGGUUGCCAAGCCGCGAGGUGGAGCUAAUCCCAUAAAACCGAUCGUAGUCCGGAUCGCAGUCUGCAACUCGACUGCGUGAAGUCGGAAUCGCUAGUAAUCGUGAAUCAGAAUGUCACGGUGAAUACGUUCCCGGGCCUU